GCUCAUACAUAACCCAACUAGUUUUAAGAUGGAGCUUGAUAAGUUUGUUUGCCCUCCCUCCCUCCUCCUAUCAGAAGGUUGUUUCAGAAUCUCAGUACUCUGCUCUGCUUCCUCAUUUGACAUCUCCGAUGCCCAUUAUCUACAGUUAACAAGGUGAGAUGGUGUAAGAUGGAGAAAAACAUAGAUCUAAAAUGGACAUCCCUCUUCAUCAAGGACAACUGAGAGAUGUUUCAGCACCUGGGCCUCCUGGGACUGGGAAAAAAGAUACAGCCUGCUGAGGCAAUCGUCUAGAGAAUGUCAGAAGACAGUGCAUAAGGCAGUCUGAGUAAAUAAAAAACACUAAUAAGCAAGUCUUUGAUU